rnacentral:rRNA from 1 species
UACGUAGGGACCAAGCGUUGUUCGGAUUUACUGGGCGUAAAGGGCGCGUAGGCGGCGUGGUAAGUCACUUGUGAAAUCUCUGAGCUUAACUCAGAACGGCCAAGUGAUACUGCUGUGCUAGAGUGCAGAAGGGGCAAUCGGAAUUCUUGGUGUAGCGGUGAAAUGCGCAGAUAUCAGGAGGAACACCGGUGGCGAAGGCGGUUCUCUGGGCAUUACCUGACGCUGAGGAGCGAAAGUGUGGGGAGCGAACAGG